rfam:Cavia porcellus supercont2_3 genomic scaffold, whole genome shotgun sequence.
GGGGAUUUAGCUCAGCGGCAUAAGCACCUGCCUUGCAAACAGGUGAUUGUGAGUUCAAUCCCCA